AAAGCAUAGUGAGGGUAUUUCUUAAGCAUCUCCUUAAAUCUCUUCCAACUUUAAUAAAUAGAUUCUUCAAAUUGGGCAAAAGAAGAGAUAUCAUUUCUAAAUUU